GCCCAGGGGAGGUCAGGGAUGUAUCGUAUAACUGCUUAACAAGCACUUUUGGUGAGCCCAGGGGAGGUCAGGGAUGUAUCGUAUAACUGCUUAACAAGCACUUUUGGUGAAGCAAGGAACCGAGUCAUAAAACAAGCAUCAUGCUAAAAUUGAUUGUUUAAUUCUCAUGAUCUUUUAAUAAAAAAAGAGAAGAAAAAAAAUUAUUAAUGUGUUCAUGAAAACCUUACUUCUAGAGAAGUCCAAGUUUUCAUUUAGCCCAAGGAUUCCCAAUUGAAAAGAUCGCAUUUUCUUUUCUCUUCCAUUUUUCUUGUAGCAUUAACUACUCAUUUCUAAGUUCUAGCUCCUAUUAACAUCACCAGCAAUACAGCAUGAAUGAUUUGUCGCCAGAAUUUGAAUGUAUUUUUCAGGACAACUUAUUUCCACCACAAUUGCUGUAGCUCAAUGGGUAAACAAGUCAAAUGGAGUUGGAUGAGAACCCAACUUCACAAAGGAUGCUACCAUUGGCAUGAUUAGGUAUAGUUGUUUGUUGUUUUAUAGGUCUUUAUUCUUAAACUUUCAUUCUUUUUAGCUUUUUCCAUAUUCUUUGAUAUAUCAGCAACCCACAGAAUUCACUUCUAUGCAUCAAGUCAACUCAAAAAAAGAACUGAUAAAAAAAAACCACUUUUUAUCUUUAAAAAAUAACAAUAGAUUCAAGAGAAAAAGAUAUAAUUCCAUUGCACUAAGAACAACAAUAUAUUCAUGGUACCAAUCUAACAACGAAGGAAUGCAAAACUUGUUGAUCAAAUUCAUCCAAAAGCAGCAAAUAAACCAGAAAAUCAAGAUUCAUGCAUUGCCAUAAACAAGCAUAGAAAGAGAAGUAAAGCAAAGUAAACCAGAAAAUUGAGCAUUAGAUUAGGCAAAAAAUUGGAAAAGGAAAGAAACAGUACCUUAUGCCACUGGAGCUUGAAGAAGACAG
rnacentral:misc_RNA from 1 species